GACGAACGCUGGCGGCGUGCCUAAUACAUGCAAGUUGAGCGCUGAAGGUUGGUACUUGUACCAACUGGAUGAGCAGCGAACGGGUGAGUAACGCGUGGGGAAUCUGCCUUUGAGCGGGGGACAACAUUUGGAAACGAAUGCUAAUACCGCAUAAAAACUUUAAACACAAUUUUUAAGUUUGAAAGAUGCAAUUGCAUCACUCAAAGAUGAUCCCGCGUUGUAUUAGCUAGUUGGUGAGGUAAAGGCUCACCAAGGCGAUGAUACAUAGCCGACCUGGGAGGGUGAUCGGCCACAUUGGGACUGAGACACGGCCCAAACUCCUACGGGAGGCAGCAGUAGGGAAUCUUCGGCAAUGGACGAAAGUCUGACCGAGCAACGCCGCGUGAGUGAAGAAGGUGUUCGGAUCGUAAAACUCUGUUGGUAGAGAAGAACGUUGGUGAGAGUGGAAAGCUCAUCAAGUGACGGUAACUACCCAGAAAGGGACGGCUAACUACGUG
rnacentral:rRNA from 1 species